rnacentral:rRNA from 1 species
UACAUGGGGUGCAAACGUUGCUCGGAAUUAUUGGGCGUAAAGCGCACGUAGGCGGACUAUUAAGUCAGGGGUGAAAUCCCGGAGCUCAACUCCGGAACUGCCCUUGAAACUGCAAUGCUAGAAUCUUGGAGAGGCGAGUGGAAUUCCGAGUGUAGAGGUGAAAUUCGUAGAUAUUCGGAAGAACACCAGUGGCGAAGGCGACUCGCUGGACAAGUAUUGACGCUGAGGUGCGAAAGCGUGGGGAGCAAACAGG